UACAGAGGGUGCGAGCGUUAAUCGGAAUUACUGGGCGUAAAGCGUGCGUAGACGGCUAUCUAAGUCGGGUGUGAAGGCCCCGGGCUCAACCUGGGAAUUGCAUUCGAGACUGAAUAGCUAGGGUACGGUAGAGGGAAGUGGAAUUUCCGGUGUAGCGGUGAAAUGCGUAGAUAUCGGAAGGAACAUCAGUGGCGAAAGCGACUUCCUGGACCAGUACCGACGUUCAGGCACGAAAGCGUGGGGAGCAAACAGG
rnacentral:rRNA from 1 species